AGUCAAUAGAUACCCAGGUAGUCCUGGCCCUAAACGUUGCUCGCUCGCUCUACGGAGUAUCGACCCUCUGUGGGGCGUAAAGCUAACGCGGUAAGCGAGCCGCCUGGGUAGUACGAGCGCAAGCUUAAAACUCAAAGGAAUAGACGGGGACUCGCACAAGCGGUGGAUCAUGUGGCUUAAUUCGUAGCUAAGCGAAGAACCUUACCCGGGCUAGAAACCAAGCUGCACGCUCUCCGAAAGGAGAGAAGCCUUCGAGGGUGCUUGGCAGGUGAUGCAUGGUUGUCGUCAGUUCGUGGCUUGAGCUGUUCCCUUCAGUGGGGUUAACGAACGCAACCCUCGUUGUCUGUUACUUAUGUCAGGCGAUACUGCCCCCUCACGGGGGAGGAAGGUGGGGAUGACGCCAAAUCAGCAUGUCCCUUGAUGCCCGGGGCUGCACACGUGAUACAAUGGUUGGUACAGAAGGACGCGAUACCGCAAGGUGGAGCAAAUCCCAAAAACCCAACCCACGUACGGAUCGAGGUCUGCAACCGACCUCGUGAAGCCGGAA
rnacentral:rRNA from 1 species